rnacentral:misc_RNA from 1 species
GUGCCGCGCCCUUACUAUCUCCUCAUCCGCCGCUAUUGACCACCCGGCCGGUCGCUGGCAGCGUCGGUUUUUACCCAGUAUCUCAAGGUACUAAGGGAUUCCGACCAUAGCCCGACUAUGCGUUGACAACCAAAGUUUUUGGAACAGCCUCACCGGGGUCAUCCGAGGGGCAACAAGCUAUGUGAUUCAUAUUUGUAUGAGGCCUAUUUCUCCUUCGUUCAGACUGAUCACAAGAAAUGGCCGGCCGAUUGUCUCUGCAGAAACGG